AUUCCUCUCUUUUUAUUUUCUCCCCACUGUUUGUUUCUUCUCAUUCUUCCUUCGCUUUUCUUUCUUGUGCCAUUCAGUCAUAACCCUCGCCCAGACUCAAUUAGCCAUAACCGUUCAAUCAAUUGUUGAGCCCACGAUUUAUUUAUCGAUCCAAGUCAGUCACAACCCAAGUACAGCUUCGAGGUUGUGUUGACCAAUGAUAGAGAGAUUCGGAGCUUCCUUGCUUGUUGGGUAAAUCGGCCUAAUUUUAGCUGCACAUGGAUUCCAAGAGAGAGGUGCUAACUAAUACGGUUCAAAGUGUUUUUGGAGUUUCGAUAUUUAGUUCGUCAGAAAGAUUGUCCUCCGUGGCAUGACUUGAAGCUUUUGAAGUAUCAGAUUGACUGCAGCCUAUAGUGAUCUAUAAACUCAAUAAGGUCGAGUUUUUCUUCCACCCAAGGAGAGUUGAUGAGGACAUCAUUUAUUUAUUUAUUUCUAGUUGGACUUUAUUUAUAUUUUAGAUUCUAUUUAUAUAAUUGGGUUUGUAUUGAUCCAAACCCAUUCUAGUUAGGGUUUUAUUUUUACUAUUUAAACCUAAUUUGCUAUGGAAUUUCAUUAGUUUGAUGAUUAUGAUGAAUUGAGAUUGGUUGUG